UACGGGGGGGGCAAGCGUUGUUCGGAAUUACUGGGCGUAAAGGGCGCGUAGGCGGCCAACUAAGUCAGACGUGAAAUCCCUCGGCUUAACCGGGGAACUGCGUCUGAUACUGGUUGGCUUGAAUCCGGGAGAGGGAUGUGGAAUUCCAGGUGUAGCGGUGAAAUGCGUAGAUAUCUGGAGGAACACCGGUGGCGAAGGCGGCAUCCUGGACCGGUAUUGACGCUGAGGCACGAAAGCGUGGGGAGCAAACAGG
rnacentral:rRNA from 1 species